UUGCAGAUUAAAAGUGUGAUUGAAGAGUUGGGAAGGCUUCCAAAAGUAAUUCACAGUAACUUGUGGGUAGACUGAGUGAGGUUAGAUUAUGAUGCAGUUGUGAUGGGAGAGGAAAGACCCAGGCCAUUUCUUCCCGUCUUGGAUAGGGAUAUCUAUGGUGGUUAGCCUAUGCCUGUUCCAACAUUGUAUGUUGGGGGUGGGGUCAGAUGACUUUCUCUUUAGUUUACAGGUCUUCAGAAGAAGAGGAGCCCAGGCACGGUGGCUCAUGCCUGUAAUCCCAGCACUUUGGGAGGUCGAGGUGGGAGAAUCAGCUGAGUUCAGGAGUUCAAGACCAGCCUGACCAACAUGGUGAAACCUCAUCUCUACUAAAAAUACAAAAAGUAGCCAGGCAUGGUGGUGGACACCUGUAAUCCCAGCUACUCAGGAGGCUGAGGCAGGAGAAUCGCUUGAACCCCAGAGGCAGAGAUUGCAGUGACCUGAGAUCGUGCCACUGCACUCCAGCCUGGGCAACAGAGUGAAACUUCUUUAAAAAAGAAAAAAAAAAAGAAGAGGAGGAAUUGUAUUCUGGAAGUAUACUUAAGGUCACUCAAGAAACUCUAUGGAGAGGUCCACGUGGCAAGGAACUGAGCCCUCCUGCUACGAGCCAGUGAGGAACUGAACCCUCCAACUACCAACCACGUGGGGCAGCCAUCUUGGAAACAGAUCCUCCUGCCCCGGUUAAGACUUCAGAUGACUACAGCCAAUCUCUUGACUGAAACCUCAUAAGACUCUUGAACUAGAACCAACUGACUCCCAAAACUGUGUAAGGUGAUGUCCACUGGUCACUUAUGUGUACCCUCUCUGUCCCGAUAUGGCUCCAGGACACUGACAUCAGAUGAUAUUUCCAAGGUAAGUGCAGAGAAGACCCUGGAUGUGGACUUUGCUUCUCCAUGGGCCUCCUAAUGCCUGGGUUUUUGAAACUCAAAAAUCCAAAACUGAGCUCAAGUGCAGUAAGCCCCAGCUGAGAUUAUGAAAGUACCAGGAUCAUAAAGAUACAUGUGUCCACUGGGUGCAGUGGCUCCUACCUGGAAUCCCAGCACUUUUGGAGUCUGAGGCGAGAGGAUCACUUGAGCUCAGGAGACCAGCCUGGGCAACAUCGUGAGAUUCUGUCUCUACAAAAAUAAAAAUUGGCCGGGUGCGGUGGCUCACGCCUGUAAUCCCAGCACUUUGGGAGGCCAAGGCGGGUGGAUCACCUGAGGUUGGGAGUUCGAGACCAGCCUGGCCAACAUAAUGAAACCCUGUCUCUAAUAAAAAUACAAAAAUUAGCCGAGCAUGGUGGUGGGCAACUAUAGUCCUAGCUACUUGGGAGGCUGAGGCAUGAGAAUCACUUGAACCCAGGAGGCAGAGGUUGCAAUGAUCCGAGAUCGUGGCCACUGCACUGCAGCCUAGGUGACAGAGCGAGACUCCAUCUCAAAAAAUAAAAACAAAAAUAAAAAAUAUUAGCUGGGCAUGAUGGUGUUUGCCUGUAAUCCCAGCUGUGUGGGAAGCUGAGAUGCAAGGAUCACUUCAGCCCAGGAGUUCGAGGCUGCAGUGAGCUAUGAUUGUGCCUGUGAACUCCAGCCUGGACAACAGAGGGAGACCCUGUCUCUGAAAAAACAAAAUCAAAAAAAUAUGUUAAUAUCGUACUUUACAAGUAUUAUUUUGUCAAAGUGGUGUCGAGAAUGUCAAAUAUUGCUUCUCAGCUGGGCGCGGUGGCUCACGCCUGGAAUCCCAAUGCUUUGGGAGGCUGAGGCGGAUCACCUGAUCAGGUCAGGAGUUCGAGACCAGCCUGGCCAACAUGGUGAAACCCCAUCUCUACUAAAAAUACAAAAAUUAGCCAGUCAUGAUGGUGCGCACCUGUGAUCCCAGCUACUUGGGAGGCUGAGGCAGGAGAAUGGCUUGAACCUGGGAGGUGGAGCUUGCAGUGAGCCGAGAUUGCGCCACUGCACUCCAGCCUGGGCAACAGAGCGAGACUGUGUCUCAAAACAAAACAAAGAACAUGUCACUGAAAUGUAGGCCUGAGGGAAAGAAGCAAACGAUCAGUGGAAUUUUUUUCUGCCCAGUGUUAAAAAUUGAAAUUGACCUCCAAGCUGUCAAUGCCUUCAACUCUACCAUUGCCCAACAAUUCUCAAAAAGAUACAGGGUUUGGACAUCAGACUUCAGAUAAACAUACUCCCACAAGCAGGAGGAAAAACCACUCUGCCCGUGUGGGUUAAGGCUAGAGGAGCUUUAGAUGAACAAAAGCACCAAAUAAUAUGGAAUGCAGUUUGGAAAACAAGGAUCGGUUAGAGGAAGAUGGUAAUUUACAGAGGAGCUUCACUGGGAAAAUUCAGACUUCAGAAUAAGCUGAAGAUCUUCCUGAAUUCACACAAGAGAGGGAGAGGGUAUCUUCUACCUUAGAAAAUAAAAUAAAACAGAGUUGUUCCUGGAGGAACCACCUUAGAUUUUGGAGCAGAAAUUGAUGUGAAUCUGGCUCAGCCUCUAAGGGCAAAUUCUCAACAAUCAAGAUGUCAGGGAGUGGGGUUCAGUGGUCCUCCCACUUCUGAUUUCCUAAGAACAAGCUGAUUGGAGGCUGUUGGCGCCGAGAAGCUAUAAGCAGAACUAGAAGCAGAGCAGGCUAUAUGAUUGAUUAGGGGUGCAUAUUUGCCUUUCUCAGUUGGUCCUAAGUGGAAGUGGAGACAGAAAUGAAGAAAUCUGGCAGUUAUUGACCAAGCCCUUACUGUUUGAGGCCAAUUGCUGUAGAGGAUUUGUUUGGCUUCCUUCCAGGGCUGGUUGCUACAGAGGUUAUGGGACAAAGGUCUGUGUUUAUAUUUGAUUCUGUCCAUUGUCCUUUUGUAUAGUCAGUCUCUCACUAGCGAUGUAUGACAGUUCCAGCUGCUCUGUAUUCUCACCAGUACUUGGUACUGUUUGUUUUGGAU
rnacentral:lncRNA from 1 species